rnacentral:rRNA from 1 species
CGAAAGCCUGACGGAGCAAUACCGCGUGCGGGAGGACGCUUUUUGGAGUGUAAACCGCUUUUCUCAAGGAAGAUGAUGACGGUACUUGAGGAAUCAGCAUCGGCUAACUUCGUGCCAGCAGCCGCGGUAAUACGAGGGAUGCAAGCGUUAUCCGGAAUUAUUGGGCGUAAAGCGUCCGCAGGUGGCAAUGUAAGUCUGCUGUCAAAACCCAGGGCUCAACUCUGGUCAGGCAGUGGAAACUACAUAGCUAGAGUUCGGUAGGGGCAAAGGGAAUUCCCGGUGUAGCGGUGAAAUGCGUAGAGAUCGGGAAGAACAUCGGUGGCGAAAGCGCUUUGCUAGACCGAAACUGACACUCAGGGACGAAAGCUAGGGGAGCG